rnacentral:rRNA from 1 species
GACGAACGCUGGCGGCGUGCUUAACACAUGCAAGUCGAACGGAAAGGCCCCCAUCUUGGUGGGGGUGCUCGAGUGGCGAACGGGUGAGUAACACGUGGGUGAUCUGCCCUGUACUUCGGGAUAAGCUUGGGAAACUGGGUCUAAUACCGGAUAGGACCAUGGUUUAGUGUCUCAUGGUGGAAAGAUUAUUGUUUUGGUGCAGGAUGAGCUCGCGGCCUAUCAGCUUGUUGGUGGGGUAAUGGCCUACCAAGGCGUCGACGGGUAGCCGGCCUGAGAGGGUGGACGGCCACAUUGGGACUGAGAUACGGCCCAGACUCCUACGGGAGGCAGCAGUGGGGAAUAUUGCACAAUGGGCGCAAGCCUGAUGCAGCGACGCCGCGUGGGGGAUGACGGCCUUCGGGUUGUAAACUCCUUUCGUUAGGGACGAAGCCGCACUUUUUUUGGGUGUGGUGACGGUACCUUUGUUAAAAAGCACCGGCUAACUACGUG